GGGGCUGUAGCUCAGUUGGCCAGAGCGCCUGCUUUGCAAGCAGGAUGUCGAGGGUUCGACUCCCUCCAGCUCCACCA
rnacentral:tRNA from 4 species